rnacentral:misc_RNA from 1 species
CACAUUGCAAUUGAUUCGCGUCAAAAAGAUAAAAGUCUUUGGUAGAAGAAGAAGAAACAUGAGGAAGGAAGAUACGGUGAAGCUGAUUAGCGCGGAGGGGUUCGAGUUCGUCAUCGACAAGGAAGCGGCCAUGGUUUCCCAGACCAUCCGCAACAUGCUCACCUCUCCAGGUAGUUUCGCUGAGACGCAGCAUGGAGAAGUGAGAUUUCCGGAAAUAAGCACCACCAUUUUAGAGAAAAUUUGCCAAUAUUUCUACUGGUCCCUUCAAUAUGCCAAGGGAAAGGAGACUGAAUUCCAUAUUGAACCUGAACUGACUCUGGAACUGAUGAUGGCUGCUAAUUAUCUCCAUACUUGACCAAAUUGUUUUGCUUGCUUCUUGGGUGGCAAUUCUUACUUUAGACGGGAUAUUAAAGGAGGACAUUGUCUCCCGAGAAGACUUAUAAGUCAUAGGUUUUCUGUGCUUGUGUCAUCACUGCUGUGGAUUGGAAUUGAGGGAGGCAUGGCAAGGUCAUUUUAUUCAUCAAACUUGUAAUGUCAUUGAUGUAACUUUGAACGUAUUUCGGACCCCAUAGAAAAUUGAACAUGACUGAAUGAUGUGACUUAGCUAUUAUUAAGUAUAAACUGCCCAAAGUGUUUAUCUUAACAUACACUUUAUUGAAAAAAAAAAAAAA